CGUUCCUGUAAUAGUAAAUAAUGUACUUAUGUUUACAACCAAAACAUUAUAUGGGAUUUUUCUCACCACUGCGUCGCACACUUAAUGUUGCACACGCACUUACCAUUUUCCUCUGGCUUGUCCUUUAUUUGGAGGCUACCGAUCUGUAAGGGGGAAAGAAUAAAGUUCAAAGAGGUGUUUGUCUGAUAAAACAAUGCUUGCCACUAUACGAGUUAGGACAGGGCAAUACGCCAGAGGCACUAACUGUGGCAAACGUUUGAGUCAUGAUGAGCAUCAUUAGAACUAUGUUAGAGGAACGUGCGUCAUAUGCUUGCUAGUCGUUAGUUUAACGCAGCAAGCACGCAGCGACUCAGCUCCUGCUACUUCAUUUAGCUUUCCCGACCAACAGGCCACCAGAGAUUCUCUAGCCAAAGAUGGUGGACUGUAACAUGUUCUGUCAGCGGGUUAAGCGGCACACUGCUACGCCUGUGGCACCAGACUUAAAGCAGCAACAACGCAACUAGGCAGAGGAAAAGAGAAAGAGAGGGAGAGAGACAGAGAGAGAGCGACUGGGGAUAUGGUUGCUAUAGUAACCAUCUGGUGGGUCUGAACUGUUUCUCCCUGACAUUCAUUUCAUCAUAUUGAGCCUGUGUCUUUCUUUCUCUUCCUCUACUCUCACUUUUGUUUAUCCUCUCUUUUCCUCCUUCUCUCCUGGCUCUCCUUCCUUCUUAUCUCCUCAUCUCCCCCUCGUGCCGCUCUCCCACUCUCUUUCCAAUCUGCUUUCAUGCUGUCCCGCCUCCUCUCGCCCUUUUCCUGCCUCUUCCAGCUCGCUUCAGUUUCCUUGAAAAAACGAGCGAAAAAGAGUGAAUGUGGUCCCCAUCUUUUUGGCUGUUUGUGCAUUUAUCUGACUGACCUGAAAGUCCCAUCUGUUAAAUAUGGACUCUUGACCUUUUUUAAGACAAGAACAAUACAUGAGGAAAAUGUGCAUAGAGCCAGCAUUUGGUUUCUGUUCAAGUUUUGGAGAUAUGUAAAAGCUGGAUUGGUAUUUCAGAUGGUAGUUUCUUGAAAGAUUGAAGUCAUUUGCAAUCUCGAUUUAGCUGCAAUAAAAGUAUGUUUUGCGAUUAUAUCAUAGGCAGGUUUUUUGGGGGUGGGGGGUUAAACCUUCGGAUUCUGCUCUGCCCAGACAAACAACAACAAAAAAAAUGUUUGUGCAAAUGAAAGAUUCUGGUGUGAUGUCUGGUGGGAUAUUCAUUCAUUUUUCCAACCAGGACUGCAACCAAGACUGCAUUUCUCUUUUCCUUGUAAUCAGCUGUUGGAGAUCUGAAUUCACAUCAGAUUCUAAACAAGCAAGAGAAUACCUGAUCCCACUGGCACUUGCUCUUACCCACUACACACACAGGAAUUUACACAAUGAUAUGUGCGCACGUCUAUACACAGAUACACCAACAUUUGCACAUGUACACACAGACAAGAAACGCACAUGGAGUGGAAAGAAAUGCUAAAGUUGCCCCAGUCAUUUGCAUGCGGUAAACAUUCUAUCACUGCAUCAAAUACAAAUAAAAAAGGUAAUUCUUUGCUCCAAGGAGGAGGGGUUGUUUCCCAGUGUGCAUUUCAUCAUGCUGCGACACAAAGGUCAGAUUCAGAAUAGUCAGGUGCAGAGAAAUGCACUGGGUUUCCUCAAUGACAACACAGUGCUUUCAGUGUGUGUGUAUGCCUGUGUGUGGGCAGCUAACCAGAGGCUUGCAGGGAGGGGUUUCCCCCCUUGUGUCAGUAAAACUAUGCAUGCUUUCACCGGUCUCUUUCCCUUUUCUAUUUGGCUCCUUCGAUGUUGUCUUUCUGUCUGUCUUUUCUUCCACACCUGUCAGAGCUUAUAACUCACAGCCACCCUCCUUUCACAGCAUCGGUAAUUAGCCUCUCAUCCCUGCUCACCACCAAAACCCAUUUGCCAAAACGUUAUCCAAAUUGUGAAUGACUAUGGGUAAUAGAGCGCUUCCCAUUACAUGAAUCACAAUAAUGGAGGUUAUCGUCUCUCUUCAGUUUAAUUUAAGUCUCAUAACACCGAUGGUCACCCAGCCAAAGUAUGACCUCAAAUUAUUGACCCGCCUGAGGUUUACAAUAUCUGCUGCAUCUCUGUGAUUGGAUUAGGAUUUAGCAUUAUAUCAGUGUGCAGCUACUGUCUGGGGGUUUGUGUGAUUAAUUGUGUAACUAACUUUUGAGAUGAGUAUUGUUUUUUACGAAUAUGUGUAAUGUAUCUCAACUGGUAUGUAGUGUAUUAACUACCCGUACAAAUAUAUAUCUUCCUUCCCUGUGAUUUACUGCACCAUGAUGCUGUCAAUAGUGAGAUGUGUCACUGAGCAGACUGCGGUAGAGCUUUGUGAAGUCGACUCAACACUCAUAUUUCUAUUAUGUUUAAAUAUUUGGGAGGAACAAAAGAGCAAGAGGAAUUUUAAUGAAGAUCAUGAACUAGCCAGCAGAUUGUGCCUCAGAUCUGAUUCUAACCAGAUCUUAAAUUUAGAUUUAGAUUUAAUUUGAAACACAAGGUCACGACGCACAACUUAAAUUAGGCCUUGGUUCCAUUUCCAGUAAAUAAAGUUAUAAUAAAAAUAAUGGUCCAACUGACUAUUAAUCAAGAAAUUACAUAAAAAGGCAGCUCGACAGCUCGUUUUUUUCUUUCUUUUCUUUAUCCUUUUACAUAAGCUUAGUCUUUCAUAGAAAUACAUUGAUAAAAGAGGUACACUGCUUGACUGAGCCUUCAGUUAUCAAGCUCCUCUUUUGUGGAACCAGGUUCCACUUUCAGUCCGGGGGGCAGAUUCGGUCAGCUCUUUUAAAGUAAAACUUAAAACGUUCCUCUUUGAUUCUGCCUAUAG